rnacentral:lncRNA from 1 species
UUUGCUUGAUCAGUGACCACAACCUGGAGACUAACGAUGAUUAGCUAUUUGUCAUACCCUGCACACUGUGUACUGACAACAUCUGAGUAGAGCUUAAAAUGAAUCAGUCGAUUUUGUUGGUCACAAACUGACGUGUAAGUCACAACACUAGGCACAGUAGUGGAGACAAAGAAAUAUGUCCAUGAUCUCCCAGAACAUCUUCUUUGGUUUAAGAAGACAAAGUUACCUGAACAAGCAUGACAGAUGCAAGUAACAACACAGUGGACCACAGACCAUGAUGGCAGCGGUAAAUCCAGGGAAAUAUGAGUUCAGAGACUCUGAAAUCACCUUGGAGUAGUGGAAGGGGAUGCAGGGAGCAUCCCAAUGGAGCUGUGAGCUGGGCUUUGAAGGACACCAAACAAUUAACCUGAGAAAGGCAUUCUACCUACGGAAAGAGUGAGAGUCUGGCUAUGCAGAGAUUGACCUGUGUGUGGAGAGUAAGCCAGGAGUCAAGUUUGCCCAACAUUGAGCUUUAGAAAAUACAUGGCAGGAUGAAAAUGGCCACACAGAGAGGAUUAAGAUGAAGGAUGAAAAAAAAAUCCUUUAACAUCUUGGCUGCUCCUUCUCUCGCCAGUUAGAUCCAUUUCUCUUUAAACAUCUGGGGGAGGAUAGAAGUUGUCAACACUCAUCUAUUGUUGGGAAGUAGCCUCACAUUAACAUCUAGAUGAACCUCUGGUCGUCAGGCUGUGGCAAUUUUAAGAACCAGGGCUAGAACUCAAACACAAAGCCAUUGCUACACAAGAGGAUCAGCUCCCGUGAAGCCCACUUCUCUUCUUCCCUGGAACAGACACAUAGUCAUCUCAGGACAAUAUCUAUGGAUAAAGAAAUGUCUGAACAGAUUUCCGGGCCAUAGCAUCUCCAGGAUUUUGUAUUUUGAGAUGCUUGCAUGCACAAUUCUGAUGCUCAACCAAAGUCAACUGGAGCAUUUUGCCAAAUGCUGGGGCUGACAUGUCAAAGAAUAAGACAAGCUCUGUGCCCAGAGUUGCAAUAGGAGAGACACAGAUGCAAUCAAGAAGUUAUAAUUCAAAACGACCCUAUUGUAAAAAUCUCGGUGCAAAGGAAUAGACAAGUCCAGAAAGACUAACUCCUGGAAAUCCUCCCAGAGCUGACAGAAGGAAGUCUUGAAGGAUGAAUAGGAGUUCACUUGUAUAAGAAGGAACAGAACAGAUUUGGCAGAAGGAACAGUAUUUGCAAAGAUGUGAAGACCAAGAGGUGCAGUUUCAACAAAGCAGCAGGAAAGUUAGGAAGUGAGUCGGUGCGAUGCAAAUAGAAAUGCUGCAAGGCUUAGAAACAGCAUGCACAUGAAGUACUGAAAGAUGGUGGCAGGGGACAGAGUAGAGGAAAAUGAGAUUAAUAAGAGCAGUUCCAUGUAUUUUCAUGUUAAUCACUUAUUUUAUGGGAUUUAAUAUUUUAACUAAGGAUUGAAAAAGUAAUCCAUGCACAUGGUUAAAAAAUUAAAACAUCACAAAAGAGUGAAUGAUAAAAUCAACAGUCUUCCUUAAUCCGCAUCACUUGAGGAAACUCCUAACAGUUUCCAAAUAGAAAUUUACCAUGAAUGUACAGGCAUUCCUUUCAACACAUCUGUCUGUUCAUCUGUCCAUCCAUUCAUCUGUCUUUCUGUUCUUUUUCUCUGGAGAACCCUAAUACACUAUUUCUCUAUCAUCUUUAUCUAUCUAAUCCUUAAAAAAAUACUCAUAGGAGCAUGCUAUACUCAUUGCUUUCUACUCCUACCUUACUCUCAACUAUAUAAGCAUGCUUCAUGUGGCUAUCCAAUGGCA